rnacentral:rRNA from 1 species
CGGGACGGGUGAGUAAUGUCUGGGAAACUGCCCGAUGGAGGGGGAUAACUACUGGAAACGGUAGCUAAUACCGCAUAACGUCGCAAGACCAAAGAGGGGGACCUUAGGGCCUCUUGCCAUCGGAUGUGCCCAGAUGGGAUUAGCUAGUAGGUGGGGUAAUGGCUCACCUAGGCGACGAUCCCUAGCUGGUCUGAGAGGAUGACCAGCCACACUGGAACUGAGACACGGUCCAG